GGGAGGGAGGGGAGGGGAGGGGAGGGGCGCGGGGACUCAAGCCACGGUUUUUGUGUCCGCGGCUGCACCCCUCUCGAAGCGUUUUCACGCACAUGUGAGAAACCUCACACCCUGGGGCCGAUUUCUUUAGUAGAUUGGCGCCCAAAUGGCAAAGAUUUCCAGGGAUUUGUUUGGGAUUCCAUAUUUUUGUAGAUUUGCCGAGAUUGGAUACUAGUACAAUAUUGAGAAUUCCCGUCCAGCAAUGUGGCUAUUUUUUUAAAUUAAUUCAGUUCUCCCUUUGUUUUUCAGGGAUAACAUCACUAUUAUAAAACCUACGAUUGGUGCUCAAGGUAUUUUCAGACCCCUCCCUGGAUGGAUCAGCUGCUCCCACCCAGACUGAUGGUCUUGUGGCUUCCACUCAGGAACUGACUCAGCACAAGAGGACAGCUUUGACUCCCCAUUCCUGGGGGACCAGUCAGCACUCCCCACUACCUGCCCCCCAUCCAUGAGAUUAUCCUUAAAAACCCCAGUCUCCGAAUUUUCAGGGAGACUGAUCUGAGCAAUAAUAAAACGGCAGUCUCCUGUACAACCAGCUGUGUGAAUUAAACUCUUUCUCUGUUACAAUUCCUUUGUCUUGAUAAAUCGGCUCUAUUUGGGCAGUGGGCAAAAUGAACCUGAUGGGCAGUUACUAAGGGUGAAGUGUGGGAGUAGGGUUACAGAUUAAAGGAUAGUUUAGGAAGGCAUCCCAGAGGUGAGGCCAAAGCAGAAUCUUGAAGGGCAAGAAUUAUCCAGGCAAAGAAGGUAAGGAUAGAGAAGAGUAUUCAGGCCAGGCAUGGUGGCUCACGCCUGUAAUCAUAGCUCUUUGGGAGGCUGAGGUGGGCAGGUCACGAGCCUGGAAGUUUAAGACCAGCCUGGGCAACACGGUGAAACUCCAUCUCUACAGAAAAUACAAAAAAAUUAGCCGGGCAUGGUGUUGCAUGCCUGUAGUCCCAUCUACUUGGGAGGCAGAGGUGGAAGGAUCACCUGAACCCAGGGAGGUCAAGGCUGCAGUGAGCUGUAAUUGCGCCACUGGACUGCAGCCUGGGUGACAGAGUAAGACCCUAUCUCAAAAAAAAGAGUAUUCCAGAUAGACAUAUAGCACAAGCUCAGACAAAUAUCAGAUAGCUUGGGGUGGUGUUGCUAAAUGCAAAGUAGAAAUGUCAGGAGGUGAGGCCGGAAAGGUACAAGUGGCAUGGAGGGCCUUGUAUGGCACUCCAUGAGGCUGGGCUUUUUCCUAUGGGCUAUGAAGCCACAGUGUGGGUGGGGUGGGAGUCAUAUUCAGAUUUUCAUUUGAGACGGAUCAUCAGGUGACACUGUAGAGGUUGGAUUUCAAAGAGGCACAACUAAAAAUAGGAAGAAUAGUUGUAAGUUAAAAAAUAAUGUAGGCCUGAAACAGGACAGUAGUACUGAGGAGGGGUAAGUAGUAGGAAUACUUUUAAAGAAAUUAUUUGGAGAUCAAAUUGGCAGUGCAGGGUGGGUUACUGGAUAGGGAAGAUGAGGGAGGAAUCUAAAAUAGUGUCCAAACUUUUGGCUCGGACAAUGAUGUCAUUUAGGUAGAAAAAAUUGAGGAGUAAUAGGUUGGCAGUAGUGGGGAAGGUAGGAAGAUUUCCAGUUCCGUAUGGUGAAGUGGUUCUUAAAGUCCCUAUGGGAUUCCUGAAUUUAGAUGUUCAGCAGGUACUCAGAUCAGCUUAUGGCAAAGGCCAGGGUCAGAGAUACAGACUUGAGGAGAGAGCAGCAUGGGGGUGAGAGUGUGUUCAGAAGGGCUGUGGGAGUGCUCUGGGAGUGGCUGCUGUUCCGAGGCUGGCAUUUGGCCCUGUUGACAUUCUUUUCUCUUCCCACCUUCCUUGGUGUUUCUCUUACCUCUGAUCAUUCCUUCUCCAAAUGCUUUACAGGCUCGUCUUCCUCUUCCCAUAGAAUGUGUUAUUCCUGUGUGAUUUCACCACCUGGGACCCCUACUGUGCCUCCAUCAAACCUUUAUCUCCAGCUCAGAAUUCUUAUAUAAGAUUGAGACGUAUGUCUCCAACUGCUUUCUAAGAGAAAAGAGGUAGUCAGUAGCGUGGACUGAUUAUCCAGGGACCACACAAAGGGUUUGUACUUCACUGUCCUAUUGUAUUCAGGACUGGCACUGUGAAUUGAUCCUGGCUGUGACUAUCUCUUGUUUUCUCUGAAAAUACCAAAUGUGGAAAUCAGGAGUCAGAUUUCAGACUUGUUAAUAAGCAUUAUUAACACACACACCCCCACUAUAAUCCUUCUGUAACUUAUUAACUUCCCCUUUAUGCUUAGUGUAUUGUUAUCUUUUCAUCAGGAACCAAAAUUAACCCAAAAUGGAAAUAAAAAUUUAAAUCUUAUUGAUACAGAAGAAAAAUUAC
rnacentral:lncRNA from 10 species